GCCAGGAAUAGUGGCACAGGCCUGCCUGUAAUCCCAGUGACUUGGGAGGCUGAGGCAGGGGAAUUGCAAGGUUGAGGCCAGUCUCAGUAACUUAGUGAGACCCUAAACAACUUAGCGAGCCUCUGUCUCAA
rnacentral:sRNA from 1 species